rnacentral:rRNA from 1 species
UAGGGAGCGAGCGUUGUCCGGAUUUACUGGGUGUAAAGGGUGCGUAGGCGGCCGUGCAAGUCAGAAGUGAAAUCCAUGGGCUUAACCCGUGAACUGCUUUUGAAACUGCAGGGCUUGAGUGAAGUAAAGGCAGGCGGAAUUCCCGGUGUAGCGGUGAAAUGCGUAGAGAUCGGGAGGAACACCAGUGGCGAAGGCGGCCUGCUGGGCUUUAACUGACGCUGAGGCACGAAAGCGUGGGUAUCGAA